rnacentral:lncRNA from 1 species
CUGCUGAAGCUUGGAUGCCAGCCGCUCAGGGAAUUGCGUGUUCCCACUGGGGGAGUAGGCAGCCCCAGGCCUGGAGGUCCUGUGGGGAGCUCAGCUGAGGCCUGCACUGCCUUCCCAUAGAAAGGAUCAGAGACAUCAGUCCCCAGUAGCCAGCUGGUGCCAACAUGAGGAGCAGCCUGUGACCCCACAGUUAACCCUGCUCUUCCCUCUGCACUCUUGCACCUCUGCACUGGCUGCUCCUCUUGACUCACACCAAGUGACCUUCAGUUCUCCAAGUACAGAAGCCCCCAUACCUACUCCAUGCACCAGGGACUUCUGCACGCCUGGCUCCCUGCCUGGAGUGGCCUCCCCACGGCCUUUCAUUAUCAGCUCCUGCAUAUUCCUUCUUGUAACAAGGCAAGUGAUCCAGCAGAUAUCAGGAAUUCUACAAACACUUGUUGAAUUGGUGAGAUUAAUGAGGCAUGCUUUGUCAUGUCAGACCUCAGGAAUCUGCUCCUACCCUGACCAUUCAACAUUUCUGUCAAUGGCGACCCAAUCCUAGUCUGUAUUUUUAUCAAUACGUUCAGUAAAGACACAGAUGCCAUGCCGAUCAAAUUUAUAAGUGAUAUAAAACUGGAAAAAUAAUGCAAUAAAGGAGAAAUCAAGAUUUAAGAUCUUGUCAGGUUAGAAUAAUAGGUCCAAACCAGCAAGAUGAAGCUGACAGCCUUUCUUUAGGUUCAGAAGGUAAAUUAUAC